rnacentral:rRNA from 1 species
GACGAACGCUGGCGGCGUGCUUAACACAUGCAAGUCGAGCGGAAAGGCCCUUUCGGGGGUACUCGAGCGGCGAACGGGUGAGCAACACGUGAGUAAUCUGCCCCUGGCUUUGGGAUAGCCACCGGAAACGGUGAUUAAUACCGGAUACGACCACUUCUCGCAUGGGAUGGUGGUGGAAAGUUUUUCGGCCAGGGAUGUGCUCGCGGCCUAUCAGCUUGAUGGUGAGGUAAUGGCUCACCAUGGCUUCGACGGGUAGCCGGCCUGAGAGGGUGGCCGGUCACACGGGGACUGAGACACGGCCCAGACUCCUACGGGAGGCAGCAGUGGGGAAUAUUGGACAAUGGGCGGAAGCCUGAUCCAGCAACGCCGCGUGAGGGAUGACGGCCUUCGGGUUGUAAACCUCUUUCAGCAGGGACGAAGCGCAAGUGACGGUACCUGCAGAAGAAGCACCGGCCAACUACGUGCCAGCAGCCGCCGCAG